AAACUCCACCUUGAAAACCUUCAAACUAGAGGAUCAAUGAUGAGAAAUCAUCUUUAGAUGGCAGCAAACUUGUGGAGCCCCUUGGAGAUGGGGCGGCAACCCAAGGAAGGAAGGCUAACGCCUUCAAACCUUCCUAUUUUGAAGGUGGCAGUCAAGAAAAUCCUAAAAAACCCUAGGAUGGCUGCUGGUGGCAUGGAGAAGAGAAAGAGAU
rnacentral:lncRNA from 1 species